UACGAAGGGUGCAAGCGUUAAUCGGAAUUACUGGGCGUAAAGGGUGCGUAGGCGGUUCGUUAAGUCUGUCGUGAAAUCCCCGGGCUUAACCUGGGAAUUGCGAUGGAGACUGCAAGGCUAGAAUCUGGCAGAGGGGGGUAGAAUUCCACGUGUAGCAGUGAAAUGCGUAGAGAUGUGGAGGAACACCGAUGGCGAAGGCAGCCCCCUGGGUCAAGAUUGACGCUCAUGCACGAAAGCGUGGGGAGCAAACAGG
rnacentral:rRNA from 1 species